rnacentral:rRNA from 1 species
UGGGGAAUAUUGCACAAUGGGCGCAAGCCUGAUGCAGCCAUGCCGCGUGUGUGAAGAAGGCCUUCGGGUUGUAAAGCACUUUCAGCGAGGAGGAAGGGUAGUGUGUUAAUAGCACAUUGCAUUGACGUUACUCGCAGAAGAAGCACCGGCUAACUCCGUGCCAGCAGCCGCGGUAAUACGGAGGGUGCAAGCGUUAAUCGGAAUUACUGGGCGUAAAGCGCACGCAGGCGGUUUGUUAAGUCAGAUGUGAAAUCCCCGCGCUUAACGUGGGAACUGCAUUUGAAACUGGCAAGCUAGAGUCUUGUAGAGGGGGUUAGAAUUCCAGGUGUAGCGGUGAAAUGCGUAGAGAUCUGGAGGAAUACCGGUGGCGAAGGCGGCCCCUGACAAAGACUGACGCUCA